rnacentral:lncRNA from 1 species
GAGUCAGCAAGUGCUGCAGUCGUGCCUUGAGGGCACCUGCAAGAGUGAAGUCUUGGCAAGGCUACAGGACAGCGAGUCCUGCACUCUGGUCUUGGGGGCUCCAGCCACAAGGACAGGAGACUCCUGUCAAGGACGGUGCAAAGCAAAUGCCACGGUCUGCCCUGGAGGGCAGCUGCAGAAGAGAUGCCUUGGGAAGGCCAGGGGUCACCAAGUGCUCUGGUCUGGCCACAAGCUCACCUGCAGCAGUAAUACCUCGGGAAAGCUCCGGGUCAGCAAGGAACGAGUGGCUGUGUGAGGGCUCCUCACAGCACCGCUCUCUCCGUCCUGUCUCGUCGCGUGCACAGAGCACUGUGGAGUGGCCUUGUCACUGCCAACACCUAUGCCACAGCAUGUCACAAAGGGCCCUUGGAUACCCUGUCCCGUUCCAUUCCACGGUGACCAUGCUGCACCGUGUCACAAAGGGCCCUUGCACACUCUGCCACCUGCCCUGGGGCCACCCCCAGCCCCCCAGAGUGGCCCAGGUUGGAAGGAAUGCCUUGCCCCAGGUGUGUCAGACAGCCCAUCAGGAUCUUUAGGAACAGCUCAGACCAUCAGCAAACGCUGCCCUGCUCUGCGGGCUCAGAGUAGCAGGAGCCCCCAGGGCUGCCGACGCAGCCGCGGCGGGAAGGGCACGGGGCCCUGCACAGAAGCUGGCACGGCCUCCUCGGGACACGUCCCACAUGGUGGCCAUCCUAAGCACGGCCGUGUGACACAGACCAGGAACGUGUGGGCCAGGGCAGGAAUGCUGCUCUGAGCCUGGGGCCCGGGGAGCGCUGACAUCAGCCGCUGAGGCACAGUCCCCGCCGAAGCAGAGUUCCCCCGAGCCCUGGCAGCACCGGUGCCCGUCUGCUGCCCCAGAAACCUGUGCCCCAAAAGGGCUUCUCUGCCAGAGGGCAGCCAAAGCUGGUGGGUGUGGCAGCAUUUUUCAGAGAAAGAGGACAUGAGUUAUGAGAUUUGAGCUACUCCAGUCUAGGCCUCAGAUUUGGGCCUUGUGAGGCCUUCAAGCCUCUGAC